AUCUGGGCGGCGGAAUUCAGUGAUGGGCUGGCGGGUCACGCGCUCGUCCGGCCGUUUGAUAUUUCCGUCGCCGUUGCAGACGUCGCGACCUGUUCGUCGUCGGUCCUUGCUCGGAGGAAUCGCGAGCGAGUUCGUUGCGGGGCGUGUUUCGGCGCGUCUCGCGAUGAAGCCGCGGCCUUCUGGCUGACGACGGACAGUAAGCAACGGUGGCCGGCGCGGUGUCUCGCACUCUGCGUCGGUGCCGGUCGGCGACGAUUUCUUCGGGCCUCUUUCCGACCCGUCUUGAAACACGGACCAAGGAGUCUAACAUGCGCGCGAGUCGCGGGGUGUCGAGUGUGCCACGGUGCGCUCGUUACUCUCGAAACCCGUACGUUGAAGGCGUAAUGAAAGUGAACAGGGAAGAUGGCGUUCCGAGUCCACGAACCGUGAUCGAGUAUCGCGGCCGGACGCCCGCACUCCCGGGGCGUCUCAAUGGCUCGUCGCGGAUGCGGACGGUCGUUCUUCGGGGCGGCCGUCGGUCUGCGACGGACCGA
rnacentral:rRNA from 1 species